rnacentral:lncRNA from 1 species
UAAAUAACAGGCUUCUGACUUGGGACAGAAACAUACAGCAUGUACAGGAUGUGAUGGAGUCAAACCAGUUUGUUGGUGCCAAAUUAAACCCCUUCCUAACCUUGGAUAGUGGUGUGAAAAGGGCUUAACACAUUUGCCAUCAGAUACAUGUAUGUACAAAGCAAAAAGACAUCUAACAAAAACAUAAACCAGACAGGGUAUUUAUACAUCACCACAGGCACAACAAAAAUAACCUCUUUAAGUCCAGAUUUGAGAGUUACCUCUUAGUUACUGAUAACUAGUUCAAAGCUAACAACAAGUUAUUUACCACCAAAC